ensembl:rRNA 5S_rRNA 5S ribosomal RNA
UGCCACAGUCAAAUCACCCUGCAGCCUAACACUGGUUACUCACUGAAGCUAAGCAGGGCUAAGCCUGGUCAGUAGCUGAAUGGGAGAUCACAUCGAAAAAUAAGAUUGCUGUUGGAA